rnacentral:tRNA from 1 species
GGAGAGAUGGCCGAGUGGCUUAAGGCAUACGCUUGGAAAGCGUACGUACGUUAACCGCGUACCGGGGGUUCGAAUCCCCCUCUCUCCG